AGUGAACGCUGGCGGUAGGCCUAACACAUGCAAGUCGAACGGCAGCACAGUAAGAGCUUGCUCUUACGGGUGGCGGGUGGCGGACGGGUGAGGAAUACAUCGGAAUCUACUUUUUCGUGGGGGAUAACGUAGGGAAACUUACGCUAAUACCGCAUACGACCUACGGGUGAAAGCAGGGGAUCUUCGGACCUUGCGCGAUUGAAUGAGCCGAUGUCGGAUUAGCUAGUUGGCGGGGUAAAGGCCCACCAAGGCGACGAUCCGUAGCUGGUCUGAGAGGAUGAUCAGCCACACUGGAACUGAGACACGGUCCAGACUCCUACGGGAGGCAGCAGUGGGGAAUAUUGGACAAUGGGCGCAAGCCUGAUCCAGCCAUACCGCGUGGGUGAAGAAGGCCUUCGGGUUGUAAAGCCCUUUUGUUGGGAAAGAAAAGCAGCAGGUUAAUACCCCGCUGUUCUGACGGUACCCAAAGGAUAAGCACCGGCUAACUUCGUG
rnacentral:rRNA from 1 species